GCCAAAAAGUGGAGAAAUUGGAAAUCUUUUGUGAAAACAAACUAUUAUGAUCCAAAUGUAUCUCUUGUUGAACAAAUGAAAAAUGUUCCUGAAAGAGUUCAUGAAGACCAAUGGAAGGAGUUGGUAACUUUUUGGAAUUCUGAUGCAUCAAAGAGAGUUAGUGAUAGAAAUAAAGUGAGUCGAGGACAUCAAAAAAUGGUACACCGAAAGGGUAAGAUGAGUUUCGCUAGAGUGGCAGAGAAAAAGAAAAAGGAACUUGGCUAUUACCCAUCACGCUCUACCUUGUUCAUUGAGUGUUACUCAAAAGGUGAAACUCCGGGAAAUGAGGCAGC